AGAUUGAACGCUGGCGGCAUGCUUUACACAUGCAAGUCGAGCGGCAGCGCGGGGGCAACCCUGGCGGCGAGCGGCGAACGGGUGAGUAACACAUCGGAACGUAUCCCGUAGAGGGGGAUAGCCCGGCGAAAGCCGGAUUAAUACCGCAUAUGCUCUACGGAGGAAAGUGGGGGACUCGCAAGGGCCUCACGCUAUGGGAGCGGCCGAUGGCCGAUUAGCUAGUUGGUGGGGUAAAGGCCUACCAAGGCGACGAUCGGUAGCUGGUCUGAGAGGAUGAUCAGCCACAUUGGGACUGAGACACGGCCCAAACUCCUACGGGAGGCAGCAGUGGGGAAUAUUGGACAAUGGGCGAAAGCCUGAUCCAGCCAUGCCGCGUGAGUGAUGAAGGCCCUAGGGUUGUAAAGCUCUUUUGUGCGGGAAGAUAAUGACGGUACCGCAAGAAUAAGCCCCGGCUAACUUCGUGCCAGCAGCCGC
rnacentral:rRNA from 1 species